rnacentral:rRNA from 1 species
GCGAGUGAGCGGCAACAGCUCAAUUUGAAAUCUGGCCCCUAGGGUCCGAGUUGUAAUUUGUAGAGGAUGCUUUUGGUGAGGUGCCGCCCGAGUUCCCUGGAACGGGACGCCACAGAGGGUGAGAGCCCCGUCUGGCUGGCCACCGAGCCUCUGUAAAGCUCCUUCGACGAGUCGAGUAGUUUGGGAAUGCUGCUCAAAAUGGGAGGUAUAUGUCUUCUAAAGCUAAAUAUUGGCCAGAGACCGAUAGCGCACAAGUAGAGUGAUCGAAAGAUGAAAAGCACCUUGAAAAGAGGGUUAAACAGUACGUGAAAUUGUUGAAAGGGAAGCGCUUGUGACCAGACUUGGGCGCGGCGGAUCAUCCGGGGUUCUCUCCGGUGCACUUCGCCGUGUUCAGGCCAGCAUCAGUUCGGCGCGGGGGAAAAAGGCUUCGGGAACGUGGCUCCUCCGGGAGUGUUAUANCCCGUUGCAUAAUACCCUGCGCUGGACUGAGGACCGCGCAUCUGCAAGGAUGCUGGCGUAAUGGUCACCAGCGACCCGU